UCUCAAUACAAUCUGCAGCAGCCUGAAGGAGUACACAAUUUGGCUACCAUUAUUUCAAAGCGACUGCGGAUACAAGGAUUUAUAGCUUUCGAUUACUUCAGCCAGUACUCCAGGUUGUUGGACUUUGUUGUUCCUUACAUUAGAGAAGGAAAAAUUACUUAUGUGGAAGACAUAACUGAAGGCAUUGAGAAUGCUCCUGCUGCUCUGAUAGGCCUUUACAGUGGCCGCAAUGUUGGGAAACAAGUAGUAGCAAUUGCUCACGAGUGAUUUAGCUUUCUGUUCAGAU
rnacentral:misc_RNA from 1 species